CGGCGUAAAGCGUGGUUAGGUAAAUAAAGAAAAGAGGGCCGAAUAGUCUCAAGGCAGUUAUACGCUAUUUCGAGACCACGAAGCACAAUUACGAAAGUGGCCCUACAAAAACUCUGACUCCACUAAAGCCAUAAAACAAACUGGGAUUAGAUACCCCACUAUGUAUGGUCGUUAACAUUGAUGGUCUCGUACUGAACCAUCCGCCUGGGAAUUACGAGCACUAGCUUAAAACCCAAAGGACUUGGCGGUGCUUUAGACCCCCCUAGAGGAGCCUGUUCUAGAACUGACAACCCCCGUUAAACCUCACCAUCCCUUGUUAAAUCCGCCUAUAUACCACCGUCGCCAGCUUACCCUGUGAGGGACAAAUAGUAAGCACAAAUGGCAAAGCCAAAAACGUCAGGUCGAGGUGUAGCGAAUGAGAUGGGAAGAAAUGGGCUACAUUCUCUACUACAGAGAAUACGAAUGGUGUCUUUGAAAAAAGCACCUGAAGGAGGAUUUAGCAGUAAGUGAGGAACAGAGUGCCCCACUGAAACCGGCUCUAAAGCGCGCACACACCGCCCGUCACUCUCCCCAAAGAAAUUACUUAUAUUAUCUAAAAUGUUUUAUCAAACAAGGGGAGGCAAGUCGUAACAUGGUAAGCGUACCGGA
rnacentral:rRNA from 1 species